rnacentral:rRNA from 1 species
GAUGAACGCUGGCGGCGUGCCUAAUACAUGCAAGUCGAGCGAACGGACGAGAAGCUUGCUUCUCUGAUGUUAGCGGCGGACGGGUGAGUAACACGUGGAUAACCUACCUAUAAGACUGGGAUAACUUCGGGAAACCGUAGAUAAUACCGGAUAAUAUUUUGAACCGCAUGGUUCAAAAGUGAAAGACGGUCUUGCUGUCACUUAUAGAUGGUUCCGCGCUGCCUUAUCUAGUUGGUAAGGUAACGGCUUACCAAGGCAACGAUGCAUAGCCGACCUGAGAGGGUGAUCGGCCACACUGGAACUGAGACACGGUCCAGACUCCUACGGGAGGCAGCAGUAGGGAAUCUUCCGCAAUGGGCGAAAGCCUGACGGAGCAACGCCGCGUGAGUGAUGAAGGUCUUCGGAUCGUAAAGCUCUGUUAUUAGGGAAGAACAUAUGUGUAAGUAACUGUGCACAUCUUGACGGUACCUAAUCAGAAAGCCACGGCUAACUACGUG